AAAAUGGGUGUGGCGUGUAGAACUCAUCAAGGUGCAUCAACAUAUUAAGUUUCAAAGUUGUAGGUGGAAGUACUAUGAUGUUAGAGGCAAAGUUAAACUUUUAUAUUAGAGGUCACAGUGACCUUGACCUUUGAC